CAGCAUAAAAAUAGCUUGCUAUUUUGGUGGCGACCGGCGCACGGGUGCGUAACGCGUAUGCAAUCUACCUUAUACUGGGGUAUAGCCCGAAGAAAUUCGGAUUAACUCCCCCAUAGUACUGUUAUACCUCAUGGUAAUUCAGUUAAAGUUUCGGCGGUAUGAGAUGAGCAUGCGUCCUAUUAGCUAGAUGGUAAGGUAACGGCUUACCAUGGCUACGAUAGGGUACGGGGCCUGAGGAGGGUCGACCCCCACACUGGUACUGAGACACGGACCAGACUCC
rnacentral:rRNA from 1 species